AUUGAACGCUGGCGGCAGGCUUAACACAUGCAAGUCGAGCGGGGUGAUGGUGCUUGCACUAUCACUUAGCGGCGGACGGGUGAGUAAUGCUUAGGAAUCUGCCUAUUAGUGGGGGACAACAUCUCGAAAGGGAUGCUAAUACCGCAUACGUCCUACGGGAGAAAGCAGGGGAUCACUUGUGACCUUGCGCUAAUAGAUGAGCCUAAGUCGGAUUAGCUAGUUGGUGGGGUAAAGGCCUACCAAGGCGACGAUCUGUAGCGGGUCUGAGAGGAUGGGCCGCCGCACUGGGACUGAGACACGGCCCAGACUCCGACGGGAGGCAGCAGUGGGGAAUAUUGGACAAUGGGGGGAACCCUGAUCCAGCCAUGCCGCGUGUGUGAAGAAGGCCUUAUGGUUGUAAAGCACUUUAAGCGAGGAGGAGGCUCUUUUGGUUAAUACCCAAGAUGAGUGGACGUUACUCGCAGAAUAAGCACCGGCUAACUCUGUGCCAGCAGCCGCGGUAA
rnacentral:rRNA from 1 species